UACAGAGACUGCAAGCGUUAUUCGGAUUCACUGGGCGUAAAGGGCGCGUAGGUGGCCUUCUAAGUUGAACGUGAAAUCCCUGGGCUCAACCCAGGAACUGCGUCCAAGACUGGGAGGCUUGAAUCCGGGAGAGGGAUGCGGAAUUCCAGGUGUAGCGGUGAAAUGCGUAGAUAUCUGGAGGAACACCGGUGGCGAAGGCGGCAUCCUGGACCGGCAUUGACGCUGAGGAGCGAAAGCCAGGGGAGCAAACGG
rnacentral:rRNA from 1 species